rnacentral:rRNA from 1 species
GAUUAAGUUAUUAAGGGCGCACGGUGGAUGCCUUGGCACUAGAAGCCGAUGAAGGACGUUACUAACGACGAUAUGCUUUGGGGAGCUGUAAGUAAGCUUUGAUCCAGAGAUUUCCGAAUGGGGAAACCCAACAUGAGUUAUGUCAUGUUAUCGAUAUGUGAAUACAUAGCAUAUCAGAAGGCACACCCGGAGAACUGAAACAUCUUAGUACCCGGAGGAAGAGAAAGAAAAUUCGAUUCCCUUAGUAGCGGCGAGCGAAACGGGAAGAGCCCAAACCAACAAGCUUGCUUGUUGGGGUUGUAGGACACUCUAUACGGAGUUACAAAGGACGACAUUAGACGAAUCAUCUGGAAAGAUGAAUCAAAGAAGGUAAUAAUCCUGUAGUCGAAAAUGUUGUCUCUCUUGAGUGGAUCCUGAGUACGACGGAGCACGUGAAAUUCCGUCGGAAUCUGGGAGGACCAUCUCCUAAGGCUAAAUACUCUCUAGUGACCGAUAGUGAACCAGUACCGUGAGGGAAAGGUGAAAAGCACCCCGGAAGGGGAGUGAAAUAGAACCUGAAACCGUGUGCUUACAAGUAGUCAGAGCCCGUUAAUGGGUGAUGGCGUGCCUUUUGUAGAAUGAACCGGCGAGUUACGAUUUGAUGCAAGGUUAAGCAGUAAAUGUGGAGCCGUAGCGAAAGCGAGUCUGAAUAGGGCGUUUAGUAUUUGGUCGUAGACCCGAAACCAGGUGAUCUACCCUUGGUCAGGUUGAAGUUCAGGUAACACUGAAUGGAGGACCGAACCGACUUACGUUGAAAAGUGAGCGGAUGAACUGAGGGUAGCGGAGAAAUUCCAAUCGAACCUGGAGAUAGCUGGUUCUCUCCGAAAUAGCUUUAGGGCUAGCCUCAAGUGAUGAUUAUUGGAGGUAGAGCACUGUUUGGACGAGGGGCCCCUCUCGGGUUACCGAAUUCAGACAAACUCCGAAUGCCAAUUAAUUUAACUUGGGAGUCAGAACAUGGGUGAUAAGGUCCGUGUUCGAAAGGGAAACAGCCCAGACCACCAGCUAAGGUCCCAAAAUAUAUGUUAAGUGGAAAAGGAUGUGGCGUUGCCCAGACAACUAGGAUGUUGGCUUAGAAGCAGCCAUCAUUUAAAGAGUGCGUAAUAGCUCACUAGUCGAGUGACACUGCGCCGAAAAUGUACCGGGGCUAAACAUAUUACCGAAGCUGUGGAUUGUCCUUUGGACAAUGGUAGGAGAGCGUUCUAAGGGCGUUGAAGCAUGAUCGUAAGGACAUGUGGAGCGCUUAGAAGUGAGAAUGCCGGUGUGAGUAGCGAAAGACGGGUGAGAAUCCCGUCCACCGAUUGACUAAGGUUUCCAGAGGAAGGCUCGUCCGCUCUGGGUUAGUCGGGUCCUAAGCUGAGGCCGACAGGCGUAGGCGAUGGAUAACAGGUUGAUAUUCCUGUACCACCUAUAAUCGUUUUAAUCGAUGGGGGACGCAGUAGGAUAGGCGAAGCGUGCGAUUGGAUUGCACGUCUAAGCAGUAAGGCUGAGUAUUAGGCAAAUCCGGUACUCGUUAAGGCUGAGCUGUGAUGGGGAGAAGACAUUGUGUCUUCGAGUCGUUGAUUUCACACUGCCGAGAAAAGCCUCUAGAUAGAAAAUAGGUGCCCGUACCGCAAACCGACACAGGUAGUCAAGAUGAGAAUUCUAAGGUGAGCGAGCGAACUCUCGUUAAGGAACUCGGCAAAAUGACCCCGUAACUUCGGGAGAAGGGGUGCUCUUUAGGGUUAACGCCCAGAAGAGCCGCAGUGAAUAGGCCCAAGCGACUGUUUAUCAAAAACACAGGUCUCUGCUAAACCGUAAGGUGAUGUAUAGGGGCUGACGCCUGCCCGGUGCUGGAAGGUUAAGAGGAGUGGUUAGCUUCUGCGAAGCUACGAAUCGAAGCCCCAGUAAACGGCGGCCGUAACUAUAACGGUCCUAAGGUAGCGAAAUUCCUUGUCGGGUAAGUUCCGACCCGCACGAAAGGCGUAACGAUUUGGGCACUGUCUCAACGAGAGACUCGGUGAAAUCAUAGUACCUGUGAAGAUGCAGGUUACCCGCGACAGGACGGAAAGACCCCGUGGAGCUUUACUGUAGCCUGAUAUUGAAAUUCGGCACAGCUUGUACAGGAUAGGUAGGAGCCUUUGAAACGUGAGCGCUAGCUUACGUGGAGGCGCUGGUGGGAUACUACCCUAGCUGUGUUGGCUUUCUAACCCGCACCACUUAUCGUGGUGGGAGACAGUGUCAGGCGGGCAGUUUGACUGGGGCGGUCGCCUCCUAAAAGGUAACGGAGGCGCUCAAAGGUUCCCUCAGAAUGGUUGGAAAUCAUUCAUAGAGUGUAAAGGCAUAAGGGAGCUUGACUGCGAGACCUACAAGUCGAGCAGGGUCGAAAGACGGACUUAGUGAUCCGGUGGUUCCGCAUGGAAGGGCCAUCGCUCAACGGAUAAAAGCUACCCCGGGGAUAACAGGCUUAUCUCCCCCAAGAGUUCACAUCGACGGGGAGGUUUGGCACCUCGAUGUCGGCUCAUCGCAUCCUGGGGCUGUAGUCGGUCCCAAGGGUUGGGCUGUUCGCCCAUUAAAGCGGUACGCGAGCUGGGUUCAGAACGUCGUGAGACAGUUCGGUCCCUAUCCGUCGUGGGCGUAGGAAAUUUGAGAGGAGCUGUCCUUAGUACGAGAGGACCGGGAUGGACAUACCUCUGGUGUACCAGUUGUCGUGCCAACGGCAUAGCUGGGUAGCUAUGUGUGGACGGGAUAAGUGCUGAAAGCAUCUAAGCAUGAAGCCCCCCUCAAGAUGAGAUUUCCCAACUUCGGUUAUAAGAUC